rnacentral:snRNA from 1 species
AUCGCUUCUCGGCCUUUUGGCUAAGAUCAAGUGAAGAAUUCAUAGAGACUUUUUAAAUUGCGGUAAGUCUUUUGGUUUUAACAAUGUAUUUUACUCCUUUAGAAUUAUUAAGAAUGCCAUGUUCCUGAUUUAUUUAAUCAUGAA